UUUCCUUCGAACUUGGAGUCGCUUUGAUCUUUCUUCUUGAACUCAACAAGAGACUCAGCUGCAGCAAUUGCCUCUGACAAGGUUUGGACGUGUCUCCUUUGUAACUCCAGCUUGGCCCAAUUAUGUAGGCCCCUCAUGAAGUACAUGAGCUUGUCUUUAUCUGUCAUGCUAGGCACCUCGAACAACAGGUUGGUGAACGUGGCGACAUAGUCCUUC
rnacentral:lncRNA from 1 species